GAUGAACGCUAGCUACAGGCUUAACACAUGCAAGUCGAGGGACCGGCGCACGGGUGAGUCACACGUAUCCAACCUGCCCUUUACUCGGGGAUAGCCUUUCGAAAGAACGAUUAAUACACGAUAUCAAGGAUGGGGAUGCGUUCCAUUAGGUUGUGGGUGAGGUAACGGCCCACCAAGCCUUCGAUGGAUAGGGGUUAUGAGAGGAGGGUCCCUCACAUUGGAACUGAGACACGGUCCAAACUCCUACGGGAGGCAGGAGUGAGGAAGAUUGGUCAAUGGGCGUUAGCCUGAACCAGCCAAGUAGCGUGAAGGAGGAAGGCUUAUGUGUCGUAAACUUCUGGUAUAUAAGAAUAGGUAUUAUAUGAAUAAGGAUCGGCUAACUACGUGCCAGCAGCCGCGGUAAUAC
rnacentral:rRNA from 1 species